CAGUAGCCACGGUAAUACAGAGGGUGCGAGCGUUAAUCGGAUUUACUGGGCGUAAAGCGUGCGUAGGCGGCUUCUUAAGUCGGAUGUGAAAUCCCUGAGCUUAACUUAGGAAUUGCAUUCGAUACUGGGAAGCUAGAGUAUGGGAGAGGAUGGUAGAAUUCCAGGUGUAGCGGUGAAAUGCGUAGAGAUCUGGAGGAAUACCGAUGGCGAAGGCAGCCAUCUGGCCUAAUACUGACGCUGAGGUACGAAAGCAUGGGGAGCAAACAGGAUUAGAUACCCCUGUAGUCCCUGUCUCUUAUCC
rnacentral:rRNA from 1 species